GAAUGGAACCACUCCCUAUGAGCCUAUGGGGGUCUUUUUCUUUCAAACCUCCACACUGUCCUACAUCUCAUUCCUCAGCUGAAAGGCUUCAUAGCUGGGGCCUGGAAUCGUCUGAAUCUGCCCAUUCGACUACAUGUGGAUUCAAUGAAGAGAAUAUUUAAGAAGGUAGAACAGUCCUAUAAUCCCAACCCUUAAGAAACUGAAGCAGAAGCCAGUCUGGACCAAACAGCAAGAGCCUAUAUCAAGAAACUCAAAACCAUUAAAAAUAAAAGGACACUUGACAUCUGGCCAAAA